rnacentral:rRNA from 1 species
UACGGAGGGGGCGAGCGUUAUUCGGAAUUAUUGGGCGUAAAGGGCGCGUAGGCGGCUUGGUAAGUCAAAGGUGAAAUCCCUCGGCUCAACUGAGGAAUUGCCUUUGAAACUGCCUGGCUUGAGGCCGGGAGGGGGUAGCGGAAUUCCCAGUGUAGCGGUGAAAUGCGUAGAUACUGGGAGGAACACCAGUGGCGAAGGCGGCUACCUGGACCGGUUCUGACGCUGAUGCGCGAAAGCGUGGGGAGCGAUCCGG